GCCAGGCAUGGUGGUGUACACCUGUAAUCCCAGCGGUUUAGGAGGCUGAGACAGGAGGAUCAUUGAGUUCAAACCCAGCCUCAGCAAUGGCAAUGAACUAAGCAACUUGAAACCCUGUCUCUA
rnacentral:sRNA from 1 species